UUUUUUGCCAGAUAGGAUAAGGCUUUUGGUGGGUUUCCUGUUCCGUUUUGUUGUUAUCAUAGCAAAGCCAUCUGGUUCAGAUGCUUCUUCUGGAUCCCAUUUUAGUAUAUGCUUUACUUCGUUCAAUCUCGCUUUCAGAUAUUUCACCCUCAGUUGCAGCAUCCACAACCUGAUUCAAAUUGUCAUGCUGUUUCUUGCUCAAUUCUAUCGUAGCAAUCUCCUGUUCUUUCAUAAUGUUAAUAUACUCUGUACAGGGUUUUAGAGGAGAAUUUUUCUAAAAGUUGACAUUUCUUCCAUUUUUUCCAUGUGCUUGAUAACCA
rnacentral:lncRNA from 1 species